rnacentral:rRNA from 1 species
GAUGAACGCUGGCGGCGUGCCUAAUACAUGCAAGUCGAGCGAAUGGAUUAAGAGCUUGCUCUUAUGAAGUUAGCGGCGGACGGGUGAGUAACACGUGGGUAACCUGCCCAUAAGACUGGGAUAACUACGGGAAACCGGGGCUAAUACCGGAUAACAUUUUGAACAGCAUGGUUCGAAAUUGAAAGGCGGCUCCGGCUGUCACUUAUGGACGGAUCCGCGUCGGAUUAGCUGGUUGGUGAGGUAACGGCUCACCAAGGCAACGAUGCGUAGCCGACCUGAGAGGGUGAUCGGCCACACUGGGACUGAGACACGGCCCAGACUCCUACGGGAGGCAGCAGUAGGGAAUCUUCCGCAAUGGACGAAAGUCUGACGGAGCAACGCCGCGUGAGUGAUGAAGGCUUUCGGGUCGUAAAACUCUGUUGUUAGGGAAGAACAAGUGCUAGUUGAAUAAGCUGGCACCUUGACGGUACCUAACCAGAAAGCCACGGCUAACUACGUGCCAGCAGCCGCCGUAA